rnacentral:lncRNA from 1 species
CAAGUGGACAUGCGUCUGUUUUGAAAUUCAAAUUGAUCAGUUCUGUUAAGCUCUCGUUUGUUUCCUCAUAACAAGGUUUAGGGACUUUUUUAAGACAGGAUUUUAUUCAGCAGUAUAAUGAAAAGAAUUAAGGGAACACAUGGUUCUAAUUGAUUCCCUGUUUGUUUAUAGAAUUUUUAAUUCAUGAAAAUGUAAGAAUAUUUAUUAACAUUUUAAAAAUACUCCUGUUAGAUGCAAACUGUGAGUGUGACUGUACUCCAUAGAUUACAGGGUGAAGCCUGUAAAUACAGAGUAGGGCAUCUGAGCUCUUAGAACAGCAAUACCUAUUGCUUCCUAUGACAUCACUUGCGUAUGAUGAGAAGAUGAAUUCCAAAGUACACAUAUUGGCUUGCUUGAAUAUCUACUAAUAGUCGUUUUUGGAAAGCUGUACACCUGUAUAACAUUGCCUCUCCAUAGUAAGUGUAUAUAAUUUU